GGGCCCGCACAAGCAGUGGAUCAUGUGGUUUAAUUCGACGAUACCCGAAAACCUUACCAGAACUUGACAUCUAGGGAAUCCUAUAGAAGUAUGGGAGUGCUCGCAAGAGAGCCCUAAGACAGGUGGUGCAUGGUUGUCGUCAGCUCGUGUCGUGAGAUGUUAGGUUAAGUCCUGCAACGAGCGCAACCCUCGUAUUGUGUUGCUACAUUUAGUUGAGCACUCUCAAUAGACUGCCCGUGGUAAACGGAGGAAGGUGGGGAUGACGUCAAAUCAUCAUGCCCUUUAUGUUCUGGGCUACACACAUGAUACAAUGGCAAGUACAAAGGGACGCCAAACCGCAAGGUGGAGCAAAUCUCAUAAAACUUGCCUCAGUUCAGAUCGCAGGCUGCAACUCGCCUGCGUGAAGAUGGAAUUGCUAGUAAACGCAGAUCAGCAUGCUG
rnacentral:rRNA from 1 species